rnacentral:tRNA from 1 species
CGGAGUGUAGUACAACGGUAGUAUACACCCUUGGGGUGGGUGCGACCCGGGUUCGACUCCCGGCACUCCGACUA